ACAGAGGUGGCGACCGUUGUUUGGAAUCACUGGGCAUAAAGCGCGUGUAGGCGGCAUCGUAAGUCGGGUGUGAAAUCCCUCGGCCUAACCGAGGAAUUGCGCCCGAAACUACCUUGCUUGAGGACCAGAGGGGAGCCUGGAAUUCCUGGUGGAGCGGUGAAAUGCGUUGAUAUCAGGAGGAACACCGGCGGCGAAGGCGGCUGGCUGGACCUGACCUGACGCUGAGGCGCGAAGGCGUGGGGAGCGAACGGGA
rnacentral:rRNA from 1 species